CAAGUAUUUUUUAACUUUAUGCAGCCCAUACUUCAUUCGGCCAAACAUAUUUAACAAACAAUAAACACAUACACAAUAACAAUACAUAAACCACUUAAAUAUGUACAUACUCACUUCGCCUACAAAAUAAGACAAACAUAUCUCUACAUAUAAUGUAAGCAAUUGUACUGUUGCUCUCGUAUAGUAUUCAACUUCUUUGUAGUUUAAUAAUAAUAACUGCUUGUAAAAAUGAAUUUGAAAAGCAUAAUUUGUAUUAUAGCCACCAUAUUAUUCAUAAUGAUGUCGAGUGUAACAGCUCCAGAAGGUGCACCGAGGCCAGUUCUACACGAAGUAACACUAGGACCUAAAGUAGGACAACCACAAAAUCCACCACCACCACCACCACCACCAGCAGCACCACCACCAUAAAAGUAUAAUUCAAUAUGUAAUUUUAUCAUUUGGUUUUUCAAAUGACUGAAUUAAUGCUGAAUGUUUAUCAUAAUUAUGUUUCGACCUUCAGAUUUUUCUAAUAACAAUUUAUUCCAAAUAACAUAUAUUUUGUUACCUAUCAUAUAAAUUAUAUUAUGUCUUAUACACCUCUCUACUAAUAAAAAGAAUA